AAACAGAUGCUAAUACCGGAUAAAAAGACUACUUUCGCAUGAAAGAAGUUUAAAAAAAGGACGGCGUAAAAGCUGUCGCUAAAGGAUGGACCUGCGAUGCAUUAGCAGUUGGUAAGGUAACGGCGUUACCAAGGCGAUGAUGCAUAGCCGAGUUGAGAGACUGAUCGGCCACAUUGGGACUGAGACACGGCCCAAACUCCUACGGGAGGCAGCAGUAGGGAAUCUUCCACAAUGGACGCAAGUCUGAUGGAGCAACGCCGCGUGAGUGAAGAAGGUUUUCGGAUCGUAAAGCUCUGUUGUUGGUGAAGAAGGAUAGAGGUAGUAACUGGCCUUUAUUUGACGGUAAUCAACCAGAAAGUCACGGCUAACUACGUGCCAGCAGCCGCGGUAAAU
rnacentral:rRNA from 1 species